GCCCAGAUAGCUCAGUUGGUAGAGCAGAGGAUUGAAAAUCCUCGUGUCGGUGGUUCGAUCCCGCCUCUGGGCACCA
rnacentral:tRNA from 1 species